AUGUCCACGAAAGCGGAGUCCAGGGUGUCCAGCUCCAGUUCCAGCUCCAGAACCGAUGAAAGGAAGAGAUCGAGCAGUACAGGUCGAGAAAAAACGAAACGGAAACGCAGUCGCAGUAGGUCUUCCUCGUCGUCCUCUUCUAGGUCAUCAUCAUCAUCUUCGUCCUCGUCGUCCUCUUCUUCGUCGGGCUCGUCAAACUCAUCCAGCAACAGUCGGAGUAGCUCUAGCAGUAGCGACUCUCACAGUAAAUCCAGAAAGCAGUCUAAGAAAAGGAAAAAGGAGAAACCCAAAAAAGUAUUUUCUUUGUUCUCAUGCAUAAUUGACACACGUUUUCAGUAAGAGUUGAAUUGUUUAUUAAUUAAAGCAAUUAAAAAACUAAAUUAUACUUCUUCUGUUUCCUUCAGCAGAAAGUUAAGAAGGAAAAACGACACAAACGUAAAAAGGACAAGAAAGCAAAAGGAGGAGAGGAAAACACGGGACCUGUACAAAUCUCCAAGGUGAGUGAGGUCCCAUUCAACAACUGUGAGACCAGAAAUACAUACAUCCAAAAAUGCAUUUUGCACAUGAUCCUAGACCGUCCCUACAUUAUAUUGUUAUUAUUGACUUCCAUUCAUUUAGGGCCACUGAGCUCUAAAAUCGAGUCUAGUACAAUAAGUUGUUACAUCAAACAAACUGAGGUCUGUUUUGUUUAUUAUCUCAAAGCCAUCUAAUAGGAUCCCAGUGGUUUGUGAUGUUGACCAUUGUACAACGUUUUAGGUCUUUUGCUUGCCCAUAACCUGUGCAAGUAUGAUACACACAUACACAGCUACAUUUGUAAUCACCGGCUAUGUUAUUUAGUCAAUUAACUUUAUUCAUAUUUCAUUUAUUAUAAUGCACUGGUAACUAUUUGUUUUCUUUCAGUACUUGAAGGACAAGAAGAAGGGCAAGUACAGCAUGAUUUCAGGGAAGAAGAUAAAAAUGAAAGUAAAGAAGUCGAAAAAAGACAAACAGGUAAUCUCAAAUGGUUGAUGUGAAGUA
ensembl:lncRNA